rnacentral:rRNA from 1 species
CUACGGGAGGCUGCCGUGGGGAAUAUUGCACAAUGGGCGCAAGCCUGAUGCCGCCAUGCCGCGUGUGUGAAGAAGGCCUUCGGGUUGUAAAGCACUUUCAGCGGGGAGGAAGGCGUUAAGGUUAAUAACCUUGGCGAUUGACGUUACCCGCAGAAGAAGCACCGGCUAACUCCGUGCCAGCAGCCGCGGUAAUACGGAGGGUGCAAGCGUUAAUCGGAAUUACUGGGCGCAAAGCGCACGCAGGCGGUCUGUCAAGUCGGAUGUGAAAUCCCCGGGCUCAACCUGGGAACUGCAUUCGAAACUGGCAGGCUAGAGUCUUGUAGAGGGGGGUAGAAUUCCAGGUGUAGCGGUGAAAUGCGUAGAGAUCUGGAGGAAUACCGAUGGCGAAGGCAGGUUACUGGGCAGUUACUGACGCUGAGGAGCGAAAGCAUGGGUAGCGAACAGGAUCAGAUACCCUUGUAGUC